rnacentral:rRNA from 1 species
AGUGAACGCUGGCGGUAGGCCUAACACAUGCAAGUCGAACGGCAGCACAGUAAGAGCUUGCUCUUACGGGUGGCGAGUGGCGGACGGGUGAGGAAUACAUCGGAAUCUACUUUUUCGUGGGGGAUAACGUAGGGAAACUUACGCUAAUACCGCAUACGACCUACGGGUGAAAGCAGGGGAUCUUCGGACCUUGCGCGAUUGAAUGAGCCGAUGUCGGAUUAGCUAGUUGGCGGGGUAAAGGCCCACCAAGGCGACGAUCCGUAGCUGGUCUGAGAGGAUGAUCAGCCACACGGGAAGUGAGACAGGGUCCAGACUCCUACGGGAGGCAGCAGUGGGGAAUAUUAGACAAUGGGGGAAAGCCUGAUCCAGCAAUACCGCGUGGGUGAUGAAGGCCUUCGGGUUGUAAAGCCAUGUUGUUGGGAAAGAAAAGAAGCAGGUUAAUACGCGGCUGUUAUGACGGUACCCAAAGAAUAAGCACCGGCUAACUUCGUG